rnacentral:rRNA from 1 species
CAGUCGCCGCGGUAAUACAGAGGGUGCGAGCGUUAAUCGGAUUUACUGGGCGUAAAGCGUGCGUAGGCGGCUUUUUAAGUCGGAUGUGAAAUCCCUGAGCUUAACUUAGGAAUUGCAUUUGAUACUGGGAAGCUAGAGUAUGGGAGAGGAUGGUAGAAUUCCAGGUGUAGCGGUGAAAUGCGUAGAGAUCUGGAGGAAUACCGAUGGCGAAGGCAGCCAUCUGGCCUAAUACUGACGCUGAGGUACGAAAGCAUGGGGAGCAAACAGGAUUAGAUACCCCUGUAGUCCCUGUCUCUUAUAC